GCAAGCCUGAUGGAGCACACCGCGUGAGUGAAGAAGGGUUUCGGCUCGUAAAGCUCUGUUGUUGGAGAAGAACGUGCGUGAGAGUAACUGUUCACGCAGUGACGGUAUCCAACCAGAAAGUCACGGCUAACUACGUGCCAGCAGCCGCGGUAAUACGUAGGUGGCAAGCGUUAUCCGGAUUUAUUGGGCGUAAAGCGAGCGCAGGCGGUUGCUUAGGUCUGAUGUGAAAGCCUUCGGCUUAACCGAAGAAGUGCAUCGGAAACCGGGCGACUUGAGUGCAGAAGAGGACAGUGGAACUCCAUGUGUAGCGGUGGAAUGCGUAGAUAUAUGGAAGAACACCAGUGGCGAAGGCGGCUGUCUGGUCUGCAACUGACGCUGAGGCUCGAAAGCAUGGGUAGCGAACAGGAUUAGAUACCCUGGUAGUCCAUGCCGUAAACGAUGAGUGCUAGGUGUUGGAGGGUUUCCGCCCUUCAGUGCCGGAGCUAACGCAUUAAGCACUCCGCCUGGGGAGUACGACCGCAAGGUUGAAACUCAAAGAAAUUUGACGGG
rnacentral:rRNA from 2 species